UACGUAGGGUGCAAGCGUUGUCCGGAAUUAUUGGGCGUAAAGAGCUUGUAGGCGGUUUGUCGCGUCUGCUGUGAAAUUUCGGGGCUCAACCCCGAACUUGCAGUGGGUACGGGCAGACUAGAGUGUGGUAGGGGAGACUGGAAUUCCUGGUGUAGCGGUGAAAUGCGCAGAUACCAGGAGGAACACCGAUGGCGAAGGCAGGUCUCUGGGCCAUAACUGACGCUGAGAAGCGAAAGCAUGGGGAGCGAACAGG
rnacentral:rRNA from 1 species